UACUGGCCUAGGUGUACGUUCCGAGAA
rnacentral:sRNA from 1 species